CACGUAGGGGGCAAGCGUUGUCCGGAUUUAUUGGGCGUAAAGAGCUCGUAGGCGGUUCGCUAAGUCGGGUGUGAAACCUCCAGGCUCAACCUGGAGACGCCACCUGAUACUGGUGUGACUCGAGUCCGGUAGGGGAGCGUGGAAUUCCUGGUGUAGCGGUGAAAUGCGCAGAUACCAGGAGGAACACCAGCGGCGAAGGCGGCGCUCUGGGCCGGAACUGACGCUGAGGAGCGAAAGCGUGGGUAGCAAACAGG
rnacentral:rRNA from 1 species